AAUAAUUUGCAGAAAGAACUUGACAAUAUACAAUCCUGGUGUGUUGAAAAUAGAUUACAUCUUAACGCAGCCAAAUGCAAAAUCUUAAGUUUUUCCAGAAAGUUAUCUGUCCAUAAAUUUAAUUAUAGUAUUGAUAAUAUUGUAUUAUCCCGGUGUGAGUCUUGCAAGGAUUUGGGUGUAUUGUUUGACGCAAAAUUUUCUUUUACUGAUCAUGUAGUCCUUAAAAUAAAUAUUAAGAAACUGUAAGCAAUUCACAGACGUAAAUGUUAUUAAAACUUUGUAUUUUGCGUAUGUACGUUCUAGAUUGGAGUAUGCAGUGCUUGUUUGGUAUCAUUUUUAUAAUAUACAAAAGAUUCUUGUUGAACGUGUUCAGAGGAAGUUUUUGAAGUAUCUGGUAUUUAAAGAUGUUGGUGUUUACCCUGAGAGGGGUAUAAGUUACAGUGUGUUAACUAGUCGAUUUCAUAUUACCAGUUUAGAGACCAGAAGAAUUUGUAUUUCAGUAACUUUUUUAUAUAAGAUUUUACACAAUCUUAUUGACUGCUCUGAAUUACUUUCUGCUAUAAAUUUUUAUGUGCCAAGGCUAAAUUCAAGAAAUACUGUUACCUUUAGAUGUAAUCCGGCUAGAUCUAACAUUUUACUGAGAUCACCAGUGCACGUCAUGUGUGGCAACUUUAAUAGAUUACAACAACCAUGUGAUAUUUUCUAUUGUUCAUUAAAUAUCCUUACGAAUUUAGUCAUUGAAGAGUAUGGUAAUUAGCUUUUAGUUGUAUUUAUCUUUAUAAUUUUAAUAUUAAAUGUACUCAUUAUCAUUUAUUAUAGUAGAAUAUUUGUAUGUAUUCAGAUAUAUUUAUAUUUUUUUGUCUAUUUAUAUAUUGUAUUCAUUGUUUUGUUUAUAAAUUGCCCUGUAAAUGGAUUUCUGUUGGGCAUUAAAGCAUUAUUAUUAUUAUAAGAAGGCGCUUUCGUAAUGAUGCUUUCGAUGUCGCUAACAAAAGAAAGAAGAAUUUGAAGACAUAUGCCGUGAGAGGAUAAUGCAGGUGGUUCCAAUGGAAUUGAAAUGUACAGCAAUUUCCUGAAGUCUACAUCAUGCAGUUGCCGGAUGAAGACCGCUUCAUUAAGCACUAGCAGCUCUGUUAUGUUAAAUCCAUCUUAUUAAAGAAAAAAACAUUUACUAUUCGAUACUUGUAUUUGGGAAAUAUGGUGUUUGUUUAUGGUUUUUGUAAUGGGAAUGCUGUUGAAGAAUAUCCUCAACGGUUUCCAUAUCACAAUUGUCCUGAUAAAAAUGUAUUUAUCAGAAUUUUUAACAAACUGUGUGAAACCGGAAUGCUUCCCAGUUCUUGUAUAACAUCUGAACGAGCUCAUCGAUAAAAUUUAGAAGAAGCAGAAAAUAUUCUGGGUCUAGUAGAAGAUGAUGCAACUACCCGCUCACGAAGAAUUCCUACUCAAUUGGGCAUUUCACAAAAAAGGGUAAUAAAAAACCCACCCUCCACGAACAAGGCUUAUAUUCGUACCAUGUACAAAGAGUACAACGCCUACAACUGGAAAAUUAUGCUAAGCGUAUCAAGUUUGGUCGAUGGAUCAAUAAUAAUCAUCUUGUUGUAUCCCACAUACUAUUUACCCGCAACGGUAUAACUUGUACUUAGAACUGUAUGUAUGGUCAGAAGAAAAUCCUCAUGCAAGUCUUGAAAGUAAUUUUCGGCAUAGGACUUCGGUAAACGUGUGAUCGAUAGUUAUUUAAUCGGUCCUCUCAUUUUAUAGGAGACCCUUAAACUUUUUAUAAAAAGAAUUACAAGUACUUCUAGAGGAUGUUCCUGUAAAUAUGAAAAUGUGAAUGUACUACUAGCAUGAAUGAGGUCUUGCACAUUUCGCUCAUCCAAUCAAGUUACAUUUGAACAAGAGGUUUUCAGAUUGUUGGAUUGGCAGCGGUGGUCCUAUUAGUUGGCCUCCAAGAUCUCCAGACCUCAUAGCACUGGAUUACUGAUUAUGGGGCUGGUUCAAAAACGAAGUGUACAAAGCUAGAGUGAACACUCGGGAGACACUAAUUCAACGUAACAUUAAAACAGCAGUAGUGAUUCCAGAAAGACAUGGCAUCAAUGUCAUAGCUUCAAAGCAAGCGAAAAUCGUAAUAUUUGGGUUUCUUCUCAUUAAUUUGUCGUGUAGAAUCCAUUACUGGAGUUUGGUGCAAUUUUCCUGGCUUACCCUGUAUAUGAAAUAUCCAUUUCGAGGAAUUUCAACAUUACAAAAGUGGCCAUCUACUAUAAGUCUGCGAAAUGGUAAAUAGCUUGCCGUUUUGGAGAUAAUGGAGGUUGCUAGUGAAACAAAAUCUGCUCUUGAAAGACUCACAGUUCUUUGCUUUGAUGAAGUGACAGUAGCAUGUCUCUGAAUAUGAUCAAAAAGAGUAUGACGUGAUUUAAAUAUAAGCAUUAAUAAUACUUCAGUAUUUCAUCUGAUUACUCAGAAUAAAACAUAUUUCCUCUGAUUACUCAGAAUAAAACAUAUUUCCUUGCGGACGUCCCACAUCUAUUGAAAUUAAUUGGUAAUUGGUUCCUCGACAAAGGAUUUAUUUUAAAUAAUGGGAACGAAAUAAAUAUACAGUCAUUCUGUGAUUUAUUGCAAAUUUCAAAUGCUGAGGAUAAGUUCUUAUUACACGUUAACAACUCUACACCUGGUCUGUGAAAAAAUUCAUAGACAAAAUGCAACUCUAGCAGCUCAAUUGUUUUCAAAUACCUACUUCAGCCUCACGAUGUGAUAAAAGUCUUGCAGAAGAUGUUGGUGAAGCAGUGGUUCGAUAUAAUGAAUUCAUUUUCGCCAAGUGCAUCUGUACGUACAAGAAAACCAUAUGGAAAAGAUUUGACUGUUCAGGAUGGCGUUCUUAACAGGAUGAAGGAUGCUUUUCGACAUAUACAGUGUAUAUCAAGAACAAGCUUACAGAUUUUUAAAAAAGGGGUUAUAAUUCCCUCCAGGAACUUUACAAGGAUUUGAAAGAACGACUCGGUAUUUCAUAUUUGUUGACACGCUGCUUAAAUCAAGACUGUUUGAAGAAUUUAUAUUCACAGAUAAGGACUAAAGGGGCCUAUGUAACUGCAGUGUAUGGAAUAAGGAUGAUUUUGCUCUCAGGAUGGUGCAGAUACAUACAAAUUAUAUAGAAAAUUUCGUGAUAAAUCCACUGAAUUUAUUUUAGCAGUAGCUCUCAAAACUGCUGAAAUAAGAAGCUAACCCGCAACCAGUUAGGAACAAUGAAGAAAUUGAGUCGAGUAUUGCAAGUAGCAGUAGUUCAAACAUAUCACACACAGAAUAUUUGUGAAGACGGGCUACAGACAUCGCAGGUUUUUUAGCUAGAAAGUAUAUUCAUACAUAUACUCUAGGAUCGCCUGCUUCCUGGAUACAAAGUCUGUCUUUGGGGGGAUUCGCACUGAACCAUCCAAAACUUUUCAAAUGCAAGUCAUAAUAUUUCAAGAAAGUUAUCAUUAGCUUUGUUCCUAGUAGAAUCCAAAACAGUUUCCAACAGUCAGACGCAUGCGCAUAUGGAUGUAAUGCUUACAUAAGGUUCAAAAUUCAUUGUUUCGAAUCAAAUGCGAUUGCGUCGGACUGUUGGAAACUGUUUCUAAUGCA